GAAAAGAAAUGGAUAAAUCUGACUUAAUAAAAAUUAAGGAUUACUGCUCUUUGAAUAACACUGUUAAGAGAAUGAAAAGACAAACCUCAGAAAAUGUUUGUAAAUCAUCUAUCUAAUAAAGGACUUGCACCCAGAAUACUAAAAACUCAAAAAACUCAGUAAUGAGAAAACAAACAAUCCAAUUUUAAGAAGGGCAAAAGACCUGAACAGAUAUUUCCAAAAGGAAAAGAGACAGAUGACAAACACUUCAAAAGAUGCUCCACACAUCAUUAGUGGCUGGGGAAAUGCCAAUUGCCACCUACAAUGAGUUACCACUACGCACCUAUUAGACUGGCUGAGAUCAUCAAGAUUGAGCUUAUCAAGAGUAGGUGAGGAUGUAGAGCAAUUGGAACUCAUGCACCGUUGGUGGAAAUGGCAGUGGAACAAUCACCUGGGAAAGUAGUCUCUUAACCCAUUAGACAUUGAUCUGCCACAUGACCCAGCUAUUUUGCACCUGCAUUUUAACCCCAAAGAAAUGAAAUGUAUGUUACGUACGUGUGCCUGUGAGGCAUGUCUAUACAGAGAUUCGAACACAAAUGGGCAUAGCUGUUUUAUUUGUAAUAACCCCAAACUGGAAAGUAAUUACCAUUUUAAACCACUGGGCCUUGGGAUGGUUUCUAACUUCUAAUAAUUGUUUGUACUUUUAUGUGGCCCACAUUCAAUCUGGCUCCAGCUCAUCUACCUCCUGUCCUCCUUUUCCUUAUUCACUCUGCUCCAGACAUGCCACCGUCUUGCUGCUUUUCUACCGUAAGCCUUUGCACUUGCUGUUCCUUCUUCCUUCAACAAUCUUUCUUUAAAUAUUAGUGUGACUUACUCUCUCACUUCAGCCACAUCUCUGUUCAAAUAUCACCUCCUCAGAAAAGCUUUCCUCAAUCACUUAAUCUAAAUUACUUCCCGCCCCGCUUUCCAUACUCUUAAUUUGUUUCUCUUCAUGUAAUUUUAAAUAUCAGCCAUAUUAUACAUCGGGUCCUUUUUGGCUUGUUUACUAUCUUUCCCACUUUACUAUGAGAUCUGUGAGGGUAGAAACUUGCCUGACACCUAGUACUGUGCUUGCCUCACAGCAGAUACUUGGCAUAUUUUUGUUGAAUGAAUGACUGUUUGGCUUUCUCAGAGCUCUCCUGAUCCUACUAGACUUGGUUAGGUGCUCAUGUUUUUGUUUUCUAUCACCAUUUAUCACUAAAUUAAUUAAUUAAUUAUCUAAUAACUAUCUGUUCUAUUACACUGUAAACUGCAAAAAUGCCAGGACCCACAAAUGCCUUAAAUAUUGUCAUAUACCCAGAUCCUAGCCCAGUCCCGGACACAAAGAGCUCAGUAAGUGUUGAAUGAAUGAAGCAUGAGUAGCCCUGCUCAUCGGUCCUUUCUCUUAGGCUAUUAGCAUAUUACAGUUGGCUGAGGUUUGCUAUUUAAAUGAAAAUCAAUUAAUUAAAUAAAAAAUCCAGAGUUCCUGUCGUGGCACAGCAGAAACGAAUCCGACUAGGAACCAUGAGGUUGCAGGUUCAGUCCCUGGCCUUGCUCAGUGGGUUAAUGACCUGGCGUUGCUGUGAGCUGUGGUGUAGAUCACAGAUGCAGCUCGGAUCUGGCAUUGCUGGGGCUGUGGCGUAGGCCAGCAGCUGUAGCCCUGAUUAGAUCCCCUAGCCUGGGAAUUUCUAUAUGCUGCAGGAGCAGCCCUAAAAUAAAAAUAAAAAAUAAAAAAAAGAAGAAAAAACAAAAAAACCCAUGUUUUAAUCCCUUUAGCCACACUUAAAGUGCCUAAUAGCCACAUGUGGCUAGUGGCUACUGUUUUGACCAUAUGUAGAAUAUUCCAUCACUGCAGAAAUUUCUAUGGGGCAGUGCCGGGCUGGAUAUUAUGUGGAAAAAGAGGGUGACCUUAAUACCCCUCCAUCUUCUGGAAAGAUCCUGGGAAGCAGACAAAGGAAGGAUGUUUGACAUUGUGCACUGGUAAGUUAACAUUUGUUUUUAAAAAAUGUUUAUUGUGUGGACACAGUGGGAGCUUAGAUUCAGAGCUGCCCUUCACGGAGGCAAAAAUUCAGUGGGCAGCAGGGUCUGAACACCAGGUUAAAAGUACAGGGGAAAUACAGGAAAAGUGUUAGGGGAUUUCAGAGGACAGAGGUGACUUCUUGCAGGACGGAUCCACCAUGACUUCCUAAACUGUGUGGAAGCUUUUUCCUGAUCUUAACUUCCCCAGGGUUCCCUCUGCCAUUUGCCCAGAUUCCUAACAGAGCAAAGUGGCAAAUAAAAUGUGGAUUUUGUGGAGUCAGAAAACUGUUAGGUUAAAACCUUUGCUCUCACUAGCUGUAUAUAUGUGAAUCUCAGCUUCUUCACCUGUAAACGGAGGAUAAUAAUUCUUACUUCGUGGGACUGUUUUGAAGAUGAAGUAUUAGCCUAGGAUUGCGCCUGGCACAUAGUAGAUUAUAAACACGUUCUCCAACUGUAUCAGGGAAUGCCUGUUAUUCUUUUUUUUGUAUGGCUUUAUUAUUUUUUUAAUUAAUUAUUUUACUUACUUUUGUCUUUUCUAGGGCUGCACCCGCAGCAUAUGGAGGGUCCCAGGCUAGGGGUCAAAUCGGAGCUGUAGCCGCUGGCCUACACCACAGCCACAGCAACACCAGAUCUGAGCUGGGUCUGCAACCUACACCACAGCUCACGGUCACGACGGAUCCUUAACCCAUUGAGCAAGGCCAGGGAUCGAACCAACAACCUCAUGGUUCCUAGUCGGAUUCGUUAACCACUGAGCCAUGACGGGAACUCCUUAUUAUUUUUUUAAAUUUAUGUUUAGCUUUUUUUUUCCCCUCCUUUUUAGGGCUGCACCUGCAGCAUAUGGAAGUUCCUGGGCUAGGUGCUGAAUCGGAGCUGCAGCUGCUGGCCUAUGCCACAGCCACAGCAGCGCCAGAUCCAAGCCAAGCUUGCACCAAUGCUGGAUCCUUAAUCCACUGUGUGAGGCCAGGGAUAGAACCUGCAUCUGCAUGGAUACUAGUCAGGUUCUUAGCAGCUGAGCCACAAUGGGAACUGCUGUUACUCCAUUUUUAGCAUAUGGAGUCCAUACCUGGGUCGCCCUGAGAGGUUGCUCAGGUGUUGUUCUGAAGAUGCUUUGAGAAAAACAGGACAAUUAAAAAUGGUGAGAGGUUGCUUUGGGUAAAUUUUCUCCGGUAACGUUAUGAGUGAAUUGGGCGGAAUCUUCCUUUUUCUUAAUAUUCACUGAUGGUGGUGGCAACCGAGGAUUUAUGAAUUUCUAUAACUGGAACUGGAGCUCUGAGGGGACAGGAAGCUCUGAAUCUCAUGCCCAACCAAGGGUCCACAGUGACUGUCUAGUUUGAUGGUGCAGGCUCUGGAAUCAGGUCUAUCUGGAUAUAACUCCCCAAACCUAUACUUUUAGCUAUUUGAGCUUCACCUCUCUGGCCUCACGAGAACAACAAAAGUAUGCACCUUACAGCCUUAAGAGUAUUAAAUGAAUUAGCAUUAGUAGGGCAUGAAAACGUGGUAAUGGUAAGAGUGUCAAAAAAUUAGCAGAGAAGAUUGGGGUUAACGUUACAGGCUUGAUAUGAGGAUUAAAUGAAACAACACUUGAAAGCCAGUACAUGGUAAGAGUUUAAAAAAUAAUAGCUAUUUUUUAUGUACACAGGUGAGGCUGUCAAGAGGGUGGAGCAAUUUUCAGGCUGAUGCUCUGUUACAUCCACGAAGCGGUUUCGCACGUUCGAGCUUCCACCUGGAACAGGAAUUCAAUUAGUUCAGACCUGUAGAGUACCAUAAAUACCUCUGGGAGUCCCUGGAGCAGUGCUUCCCAGGAAUCGCGCAGAACUUGGCUGGUUAAGAAUCGACAGUUGUUAUCAAGUAUGUUGCUUCGCAAGAAACCUC
rnacentral:lncRNA from 1 species